rnacentral:rRNA from 1 species
GAUGAACGCUGGCGGCGUGCCUAAUACAUGCCAGUCGAGCGAACAGACGAGGAGCUUGCUCCUCUGACGUUAGCGGCGGACGGGUGAGUAACACGUGGAUAACCUACCUAUAAGACUGGGAUAACUUCGGGAAACCGGAGCUAAUACCGGAUAAUAUAUUGAACCGCAUGGUUCAAUAGUGAAAGACGGUUUUGCUGUCACUUAUAGAUGGAUCCGCGCCGCAUUAGCUAGUUGGUAAGGUAACGGCUUACCAAGGCAACGAUGCGUAGCCGACCUGAGAGGAUGAUCGGCCACACUGGAACUGAGACACGGUCCAGACUCCUACGGGAGGCAGCAGUAGGGAAUCUUCCGCAAUGGGCGAAAGCCUGACGGAGCAACGCCGCGUGAGUGAUGAAGGUCUUCGGAUCGUAAAGCUCUGUUAUUAGGGAAGAACAAAUGUGUAAGUAACUAUGCACGUCUUGACGGUACCUAAUCAGAAAGCCACGGCUAACUACGUG